rnacentral:rRNA from 1 species
AUUGAACGCUGGCGGCAGGCCUAACACAUGCAAGUCGAACGGUAACAGGAAACAGCUUGCUGUUUCGCUGACGAGUGGCGGACGGGUGAGUAAUGUCUGGGAAACUGCCUGAUGGAGGGGGAUAACUACUGGAAACGGUAGCUAAUACCGCAUAACGUCGCAAGACCAAAGAGGGGGACCUUCGGGCCUCUUGCCAUCAGAUGUGCCCAGAUGGGAUUAGCUAGUAGGUGGGGUAACGGCUCACCUAGGCGACGAUCCCUAGCUGGUCUGAGAGGAUGACCAGCCACACUGGAACUGAGACACGGUCCAGACUCCUACGGGAGGCAGCAGUGGGGAAUAUUGCACAAUGGGCGCAAGCCUGAUGCGGCCAUGCCGCGUGUAUGAAGAAGGCCUUCGGGUUGUAAAGUACUUUCAGCGGGGAGGAAGGGAGUAAAGUUAAUACCUUUGCUCAUUGACGUUACCCGCAGAAGAAGCACCGGCUAACUCCGUG